rnacentral:lncRNA from 1 species
AAAGAGAGAAAAUCGAUUGAUAGCAGCCUCCAAACUUAGGGCUAAAUAUGUGAGAUUACAAUGGUUUAUAUAAUGCAAAACUAAGGAAACAUAAUAAGACUAAACUACCCUUAACCUAAUUAGGUUAAGCGUAGUUUAGUCUUAUUAUGUUUGACCAACAAAAAUACGUAAUUGAUAAAUCGAAUUUGACUUUGCGGCAAAGUCUACAAGCUGCAACUACGGAGAGCAACGAAAGGUAGGGAAAUGAUGCCGAACUGCAGAUAACCAACGAAACCACACAAUGUCAACUAAACCCACUGCAGAUAACUAACGAAACCACACAAUUUCAACUAAACCCACUGCAAAUAACUAACAGCUAAACCAAACGGAUGCAAAUUUCAAAUUCCAAAUGAACUUGACAUAUCAAUUCCAAGAACUGACUAUGCCAAAUUCCAAACUCCGAAUAGACUGGACAAACGAAAUUUCUAAUCCCAUAAACUGGGCAAACAAACGAAAUUUCCAAAUCCCGUGAACCGGGCAUCAAACGAAAUUUUCAAUCCCACGAACUGAGCACAAAUUUCAAAUUCAAGCUCAACAAAUGCCAAAUUUCAGAUACACUGGAUCAACACCGAAACAAAUUUCCAAUCCCAUAAAAUGGGCAUACACCAAACCAAAUUUUCAAUGCACUCAUUUUUUUAUUUUUUAUUUUUAAACCCAAAUGGACAAAUUGAAAUCCCAAAAUACAAGGCCCAAAUCCAACAUUACCAAACUGCUGGCAAUCCACAGCCCACUCCUUAGGCCCAAUUCCGCAGACCCAUCAAACAUUUCAAGCCCAAGGGAAACUAACAAAUGAAGCCCAAAACACCAAACCCAAAAAUAAUGACCCAAAACCUUAACCUAAAAGCCCAUAAACCCAAUAAAACUAACCCAGCAGGCCCAACACAACAAAUCCAAUCCAUGUACUCUAGUACCCAGACCCGCUCUACAGCCCAUAACGCAUUACCCAUAUACUCCAGCUCAAUAAUCAACCCAAUCAUAGAAUAAAGCCCAGCUAACAGUGACCUAAAUUCAAUCUAGCGUCUCCUCCGCCAAACCAUACCGACAGCAACUGUUCACUCCACACCGCCGACCACAGGUCUCGCCGCAGACACACCUCACCAACCGUUGAAUCACAGUCCAAUUAAAUCAACCAACCCAAGAAAACCCGGAACCGUGGAAUGACAAUCCCAAUGAAAAAAAAAAAUAGAACCCAAGAGAUCCAAUUGUCUCCCGACUAAGACCGUCAAUCCCGGCAAGAGGUCAAUAGAGGUCAAUCCCAGCUGCAUCUACGAAACCAGACAAUCAACAACGGCGAACAGAACUAGGAACUCGCCGGCAGCCACCAACCCACAUCCAACAAUACCCAUACAUAGACAAACGUCAACCACCAGCGUUCGUCACACAACGCCUCAGCAAACACCUUCAUGUAGGUCCCACGGUCUAAAGCUUCCUCUAACCCUGAAAUCCUCUUCGGCAACAUCGUAACUCAUAGAGGGGUCUAACCCAUUUGAAGGAAACAGCAACUGAGGAGAAGAUCAAAAGAUAGCAUUCCGAGAAGGAUAACAUCAAGAACCGUGUGAGAGUUUUCAUUGAAGGUAGAUCUAUAAGUGUGUAGAUCCAGACCAGUACCAUAAGAGCAACAAUGCACAUGUAUUGAGAGAUGGGUCAAUUGGAAGGAAGGGUUGGGUGUAUGUGUUGAAAGCGGCAUACCAAGAAAAGAAAAUCGAAAUUUCAUUAUAAAACCUAAUAUCAAGAAAAAAAGAAACUGAACAAAAUUGUAAGUCGGACGAGCCGGACGAGCAGCCGAAUGCCGCUCGCCGGAAGCGAAAUUCAAAGGCUGAUUUGUUUAGGAUCGAAAUAGCUCUGAUACCAUGUAGAAAACAACAAAUCAAAGAUGAAGAAUGGAGGAGAAAGAGAGAAAAUCGAUUAAUACCAG